rnacentral:rRNA from 1 species
UACGUAGGUGGCAAGCGUUGUCCGGAUUUACUGGGCGUAAAGAGCGCGCAGGCGGUCGUUUAAGUCGAAUGUGAAAGCCCCCGGCUCAACUGGGGAGGGUCACGCGAUACUGAUCGACUCGAAGGCAGGAGAGGGAAGUGGAAUUCCCGGUGUAGUGGUGAAAUGCGUAGAUAUCGGGAGGAACACCAGUGGCGAAGGCGGCCAUCUGGACCGGUUCUGACGCUGAGGCGCGAAAGCGUGGGGAGCAAACAGG